CCUCUUGAUUGGCCGACAAUACAAGCGCACCGGCCGAUCGCGACCGCACAUUCGCGCCUGAAUUCGGAGAUGCCAGCCACUCUAGUGCGCCAUAUCCCCACAUUUUCCAUACCGUCACACUACAAAGAAUUAUUCUCGCUGAAAAGUUUUUGAAGAGGGAAGCCUAAAGCGAAAAUAUAUGACACAGGGUGAGCUCUCGCAAACAGUUGAUAUGAAGAACUUGGACUCGACCAUGCAGAUGUGGUGGACAUUACAGGAAGCCUUGCUGUUUUCUUCUAACUAAACGAAACAUCUUAGUUUUAAAAGCAGGCCGCGCCCUAGAAAACAUCCGAAUCAGACCUACCAUAAAAGUUGAAGACUGGAAGUAAACUGCCUUUAAAAUCACAUUACAGUGGCACAGUGUUAAUUCCACCUUGAUUUGGGUUACGCAGCAGGCCUACAACUCCAGGAUUUUGUCUUGGAAUGUGAGUAGAGACAGCAGGGGGCUUGACUGCGACAGCCUGCUGUGUUGGGUUCACAGCCAGAAUUGACUUGUGAG